UACGUAGGGUGCAAGCGUUAAUCGGAAUUACUGGGCGUAAAGCGUGCGCAGGCGGUUUUGUAAGUUUGUCGUGAAAGCCCCGGGCUCAACCUGGGAGUUGCGAUGAAGACUGCAAGGCUUGAAUCUGGCAGAGGGGGGUAGAAUUCCACGUGUAGCAGUGAAAUGCGUAGAGAUGUGGAGGAACACCGAUGGCGAAGGCAGCCCCCUGGGUCAAGAUUGACGCUCAUGCACGAAAGCGUGGGGAGCAAACAGG
rnacentral:rRNA from 1 species